GAGUUGGUAGCUCAGUGGUAGAGUGCAUGCUUUGAAUGUAUGACAAGAUUCAAUCCCCAGGUCG